UCCCGAGCGUUGUCNGGAUUUAUUGGGCGUAAAGCGAGCGCAGGCGGUUAGAAAANUCUGAAGUGAAAGGCAGUGGCUCAACCNUUGUAGGCUUUGGAAACUGUUUAACUUGAGUGCAGAAGGGGAGAGUGGAAUUCCAUGUGUAGCGGUGAAAUGCGUAGAUAUAUGGAGGAACACCGGUGGCGAAAGCGGCUCUCUGGUCUGUAACUGACGCUGAGGCUNGAAAGCGUGGGGAGCGAACAGGAUUAGAUACCCUGGUAGUCCACGCCGUAAACGAUGAGUGCUAGGUGUUAGGUCCUUUCCGGGACUUAGUGCCGCAGCUAACGCAUUAAGCACUCCGCCUGGGGAGUACGACCGCAAGGUUGAAACUCAAAGGAAUUGACGGGGGCCCGCACAAGCGGUGGAGCAUGUGGUUUAAUUCGAAGCAACGCGAAGAACCUUACCAGGUCUUGACAUCCCGAUGCUAUUUCUAGAGAUAGGAAGUUUCUUCGGAACAUCGGUGACAGGUGGUGCAUGGUUGUCGUCAGCUCGUGUCGUGAGAUGUUGGGUUAAGUCCCGCAACGAGCGCAACCCUUAUUGUUAGUUGCCAUCAUUGAGUUGGGCACUCUAGCGAGACUGCCGGUAAUAAACCGGAGGAAGGUGGGGAUGACGUCAAAUCAUCAUGCCCCUUAUGACCUGGGCUACACACGUGCUACAAUGGCUGGUACAACGAGUCGCAAGCCGGUGACGGCAAGCUAAUCUCUGAAAGCCAGUCUCAGUUCGGAUUGUAGGCUGCAACUCGCCUACAUGAAGUCGGAAUCGCUAGUAAUCGCGGAUCAGCACGCCGCGGUGAAUACGUUCCCGGGCCUUGUACACNCCGCCCGUCACACCACGAGAGUUUGUAACACCC
rnacentral:rRNA from 1 species